rnacentral:tRNA from 1 species
GCUCUGAUAGUUUAUAAAAGCAUUGGUCUGGUAAGCCAAAGAGUGAAGGCUUCAACCCUCCUCAGAGCC